rnacentral:lncRNA from 1 species
CAUUUUGCCCCUGCACUGAAUUUUCGCUUCAAAAUCGGACAUGAGAUGAGAGACUCGAGAGGAUGAUAGACAACGUCACAAGAUAAAGUUUCUAUUACCACAAGAGGUUACCUCGAGCAUAUCUCAGAUCAGACAGGACACAGUAUAUGACGAAGAUGGGAUUUAGCAGCCUGGUUCGACUCUCAUAUUUAUCCAUCCAUGAGCAGUCAAGUGUUUGCCUCAAGCAUGGGGGC